AUUGGAAGGAGGACUCCCAGGCUGCGGUGAUGGCUCUCAUCAAGGAGGCCUGCCUGAAAGCAAAAGGGAUCGCCUCGGGAGCUUUAUUCCAUGGAAGGUUUUCCACCUUGCAGUGACAAGAUGGCUUCCAUCAACUCCAGGAGUACAUCCUAUCACCAGAUGCAGUGAGCCUUGACCGGAUCCGAGUUUGGGACCUCAAGCUCCAGAGGACAUCUUUGGUACGACCAGGAAAAUGUUACCCUGAUUGGCUACUUGAUGGUCCCAGUCGGCCCAGAAGGGAGCAGCCAACAUGCCCAGGACUCUGGGUCUGAAAACCGACAUCACGGAGGCCUCUUCCGGGAUACCACAAGCGCACGGGUCACCAGGAGCAAUUGGUGACCUAGGAGUGCUUUCCGAUGAAAUGAGAAUGAACCCCUCAUCUCGGUGACCCGCACAGCCCAAGACAAAAUAAAUUAAGAGGCUGUGGCUGAGACGUUAAUUGCACCCAGACUCUCAGGUGGCUGGAUGCACCCACCCAGGUACCCCCUGGCCCCCACAAGCAAAACCCAAUGAACUCAUGGCUGUGGCCGGGACUUGAAAUGAACAACUGCACACACACAGUGCAACAUGCAUUUGGACGGUCCUUGGGGCAGCCCCCAGCACCACAAACACACAAAGCAGAAAUACGUGCUGAAAACACACAACCAAAUGCAAAUAAGGGAAUGGCCUUGGAUUAAUUCAUCCAUUCCCAAGAAUGUAAAAAAUAGUCCCAAACUCAAGAACGGUCUUCCGCAAGAACGUCAAGGCCACUUUUGAAGAGCCAUUCAGGGAGACUGUUACAUGCGGAUUUCUGGGGCUCAGACCUUUACUGACCCAGAACCUUUCCGGACAGAACACAAGAAUGUGCAUUUUAGGAAGCCCCCACCCCCACCCCCAUCCAAUGCUCACUGGCACUGAAAACACCGUUGAAAUCAGGGGCCUGGGGACUGCAGUUUUAUAACUGUGUGACCUUGGAGAAGCCAUCCAACCUGAACCGUGAUUUUCUCAUCUAUCAGUGGGAAUUGACAGCACUUGUCUCCUAGGGCAGCUGUGCACACUAAAGGCGUGUUUACACACACAUGCACGUGCACACACACACACACCCCUAAUACGG